rnacentral:rRNA from 1 species
CCUACGGGUGGCAGCAGUGGGGAAUUUUGGACAAUGGGGGCAACCCUGAUCCAGCAAUGCCGCGUGUGUGAAGAAGGCCUUCGGGUUGUAAAGCACUUUUGUCAGAGAAGAAAACUGUUGCGCUAAUAUCGCGACGGGAUGACGGUAUCUGAAGAAUAAGGACCGGCUAACUACGUGCCAGCAGCCGCGGUAAUACGUAGGGUCCAAGCGUUAAUCGGAAUUACUGGGCGUAAAGCGUGCGCAGGCGGUUAUGUAAGACAGGUGUGAAAUCCCCGGGCUUAACCUGGGAACUGCACUUGUGACUGCAUAGCUAGAGUGUGGCAGAGGGGGGUAGAAUUCCACGUGUAGCAGUGAAAUGCGUAGAGAUGUGGAGGAAUACCGAUGGCGAAGGCAGCCCCCUGGGCCAAUACUGACGCUCAUGCACGAAAGCGUGGGGAGCAAACAGGAUUAGAUACCCCUGUAGUC